rnacentral:rRNA from 1 species
UACGUAGGGUGCGAGCGUUAAUCGGAAUUACUGGGCGUAAAGUGUGCGCAGGCGGCCGAGCAAGUCGAGUGUGAAAGCCCCGAGCUUAACUUGGGAACUGCGCUCGAAACUACUUGGCUAGAGUGUGGCAGAGGGAGGUGGAAUUCCACGUGUAGCGGUGAAAUGCGUAGAGAUCGGGUGGAACACCAGUGGCGAAGGCGGUCCGCGAGCCUGUGCCUGACACUGAAGCGCGAGAGCGUGGGGAGCAAACGGG